CACACACACACACACACAUAUCUCCUUUAUGGAAAUACACAAGUAUUUCCACAAGUACCUCCUUUAUGGAAAUAUACACAUACGCACAUGUAUCCUCUAUAAGAAUGUGUAUUUCUCACUCCUGCAAAUGCUUCAACUAUAGAUGGCAACAUUCUGGAGUGGGGUUCCACCCAGAAAUGGGGGUGAUCAGAAAGACUGGAUUUUUUUCCUCUGGAUACAGUUGUAUCGUCUUCAUAUGAUCACUAAUGGCUUCAGUAAUUAAAGGAAAACUUUUAAAAAGUUGAAUGCAAUUCACAGAGCAGCUCAGGUAGGGUAGAUAGGAACCCCAGCCCCCCAUGGUAACCCCACAGCCACCACAUCCAGAGAAUAAAGGACAUAAAUCUUGCAGGCAAAUGAUUAUACAGCAGUGCAGUGUGCACUCAGCACCCCCCUGCCCCACACCUACUCAGCAAGGGGCUCACAAUGUCAGCUCCCCGUGAACCUUGCAAGUGUCCCAUAUGGUCCCAUUUUACAGAUGAGAAACUGAGGCUGUAGAAAGGGAUGUUAAGGUCAAGUGAGUUAAAAGUCAGAUAGGCCAUUGAGGCUGGUACAGAUAAAGACACACACACCACACAGAGUCACACACACCACACACUACAACCCAUAGAGACGCACAGACACACAUCGUGCAGACUCAGUUGCAGACACAGACUCCACAUGACACACACCUACACACAUACAAAGACACAAACACACACACACAGAUUCACACAAAAACAGACCCAUACAUACAUGAUCACAGCCUUCCCCACACCUGACCUCAAAUACCUCCUCAAAGAGGGGCGAGCAGAGACACACACACACACAGGCCCACAUGGCACACACAGUCACAAAUACACCCUCCCAACUCCCCACAGGACGCUUCUUCACAAGCACAACACAGGGACACAGCUGCCCCCACACAAGUGCAGACACAACCACAAACACGUGGGCACUUGUCCACAAUCACACACACACUCCACAAAAACCACACACUCUUACAAGCACACACACACCCACAAGUGGAACCCUCCUGGUAUUCCCACACAGGCACACACAGAGUCACAUAUGCACCAUCACAAUGACACACAGAACGCCACCUCCCUGCUUCUCCCGAACCAGCUCUUCCCUGGGGCUGGGCUCUUGGCCCUGCAGAAGCGUGGUGGGGACAGGGAAGGGCAGGAGGGUGACAUGUGGUUGUCCUCCCCCCACCCCCCCGCAAGUGCGGUGUUUGUGUCCGUGAGUGCGUCUGCCCGUGUGUGUCCGUGCACGCCUGUGUGUGUGACAUGUGUCUCUAGACAGGCCUGUGUGUCUAUGUGAGUCUCUGUGUGGCUGUGUGUGCAUAGUCGUACAGACACAGGCACCGUGACGGAGUGUCGUGGGGGUGUGUGUGUGUAAUUAUGACUGCAUGCACGUGUGUCCCACUGUGCACAGGACAGAAAAUGGGGACAGAGGUGCAUGCCGCAUGCUGAAGGCCAGGGCGUCCCACCGUCCGUCCGGGAGUGCAGAGGGAGAGUGCUGAGUCUGAGGCUGGGAGUGGGUGUGGGGGAUGGUGACGACCCAAGCGUGACCUUGAGUGUUGUGGAGGGAGGUCUCUGUGUCAUUGUGGGAUGAGUUUUCUCUUCUUCUUGAAAUCCCAAACAGCCCCCCAUGAUGGGAAGUCAAGAAGAAAACGAGAGACACCCACCUGGCCUUGGGGUUUUUAUAUUUAGAAAAUUAUAUCAAACGCACAGGGGGUGUGGUGGGGGGGGUGGGGAGCAGCGGGGAUUCCCCUGGAGGUGAGAAAACAGCUAUCUGUGCCCACAGCCUCUGGUCCAUUGGGGGCAAGUGCUGGAGGCGGCACUGCGGGACUGCGGGACCAGUCCCGGCGUCCCUGGGCUCUCCCUAGCAUAGGAUAAGAGGAGUCUCUUUAGCCACCCACCGGGCCCGUCCUAACCCCUGUUCUGCUGUAACUACCCACCCCUCGGGACUUCCACGGCCGCGCAGGGAGGGGGGAACCCCCACCGCCCCGCCCCCCUCAGGGCAGGUCCCCGCGCAAGCGCAACCCCUGGCGAGCGACGUCUGCGCGGCGAGUGAUCGCGUCCCGGCGCCACCUCGCGCCCGAACCUCCAGCCAGGACCCCCUGGGUCAAGCGGAUGGGGGACCCCGAAAGCUGGGGGAAGUGGAGGGGACUUAGGGAGGAGGUAAAGGGACACAGUUUUGAAAAGGUAGAGGGAGCGCUCUUCCCCCGCCGCCCAGGCAGUCCCCAGUUACAGGAUAAAAGGAACUGGGGGAGGCGAGGCCAGGGGUGGAAGGCAGACCCUUCCCUGGGGGGACACAGCGCCAGUCACUCGCACACAGCGAGCGGCACCCAACUGUCCCCUGGAACGCGGCCACUCGACAAUUCUCCACUCCCUGGCGACCCCCCUCAACCGCCACACACCCACACGGGGACACCCCACGGUCACCCAGGGACACGCGGCCCCGCGGACACGCAGCCCAGCCAUAGUUUCACGACACCGCCCCGCAGGGACGCGCGCACAGUCGCCCAGUUAUCCAAAGACACAAGAGUGUCCCGCAGCCGCACAAUGCGGGCGGCGCUCACAACAACACACGCCAGCACGUGGAUGUGCAGACACACGCGGACGCAGAAAGCGGAGGAACCGACGCGCCAGGACCCGCGGCCCCACAGCAGGAAAAACCAGCCACCAUGUUAUGAGGAUGCUCAAGCAGCACUAUGGAGAUUCGCACAUGGCGAAAAGCUGAGGCCUCCCACCAACAGCCAUGUGAGGGAGCCAGCGUGGGAGUGGCUCUUCCAGCCCGAGUUGAACCUUCAGAUGCAGCAGCCCCGGCUGACAGUUUGCAACCUCAUGAGAGACCCUGAGCCAGAACCACUCAGCUAAAUCAGUCCUGGACUCCUGACCCACAGAAACGGUACCAAAGAGAGGCGUUUUGGACAUUAAGACGCUUGGCUGCUUCUCACCUGAAACACGCAACAGGAACACCGACCUCUCCAGCCACGGGAAAUCUUCUUUGACACAAAACUCAAACCAAGUCAACCCAAAGUUCCAAGUUCUUUGCUUUCUUUUCUGUGUGUGUGUAUUGGUUUGUCCUAAAAGUCAGUUUGCAAGUUGAAACUUCAUGAAAUUACUUGUAGCAGAAAUAAAGUACAUCGUACAAAUCACGCAGGUCUGCGAUGUGGAGUAUAAAAAUGGUAUUUACAGCCAGUAAACAUGGACCAGAAAGACACGUACAACUGCACACCAGCACGCACUCCCAAGCAGGCCCUCGGGGGCUCGGCGGGCGCCGCGGACACGGGUGGGGCCCCCUCGAGGCCGAUUGGCACACACUUGCACACGGGGACACACGGAACACAGGCACGCUAGAGGAGGGUCUCGAACAAUUAUCAAACUCUGGAAUAUCGAAACAAGUUGGUUCAGAAGAUUUUUUUUUUCUUUUCUAUUUUUUUCUUUUUUUCUUUUUUUUUUUGUUUUUGUUUUUUUGCUGUGUGGUUCCCCCCACCCCACCGCCCCCCCUCCGGGUCAGUCAACACAUUUUGGUAGAAAGAAAAGGAAAUGCUUGCUUUUUUUUUUUUUUUCUUUUUAAAUGUUUUUUUCUUUUGAGCUUGUUAAGAUAUCUGGCGCCUCAUUUGGUAAGAGGCCUUGCUGGAUGUCCAAACGAACUUGAUUCUGUGCUUUGACAUGGGUGUUGCGGAUUGGGUAGCUGUACAGAGGCACCCCACAAAGACCCCCCACCCCACCCCACUCCCAACUAGGAAACAAAAAUCCACUGUGGUUUGAUUCUUUCCCCCCAUCUUUUUCUUCUCUUUUCUUCUUUGUACCUGCUCAGAAAGACCGGAAAAAAAGAAAAAAAAUCUCUGUAGAGGUAUGAAGGUCAUUAUCAAGUUCAUCUCCAGUUAAAGGGGUGCUUGGCCAGUCCAGGUAGGGUCUUCCGCUACGCUUGGCAAUCCUGGUUACAAGACCUUAAAUUCGAGGCUGGUGAUUCGAAGGCAGGGACGAUGGCUGCCUGGCCUUGGGAGGGGGUGGUGAGGGGCGGGGGGGGCUCCCCCCAGCCCUGUCCGCCCCCCCCUCCGACGGAAAGCUAAGGGCUACUGGUCACAUGAGUAAGGCUAUGACUCGGGCAGGGGAGCAGAGAAGGGCUGAGGCAGGCCAGAGCGUCUCUGUUGUACCUAUAUCCAUCCGGGAGGGCAGGGCUCUGGGAUAAAGGGGCGAGGUGGGGUCUGGAGGCCGCAGCUGGGACCAGGGACACUGAAGCUGGCAGAGCCCAAUGGCCCUGGAGAAUCGGUGGUGGGGGGUGCCAAAAGUCCUGGAGGUAUAUUGUGUUGGCGGGUUCCUGGUGGGAUGUGCCAGCCGGGAGGUGGUGGGGGAGGGUGGUGGGGCACCUGGUACGUGUUGCCCGGGGGCCCGCCAACCUCAGCCCUUCCUGUGUCCCCGCUGAGUGACCGGCCCAGGGUCACUCUACUCGGAUGGAAGGAAGUCGGAAAAGUUUGGUCCCAUGAUCCGUACUCAAAAAAUAUAUAUACUGUCUAUAGAUCUAUAUAUAUAUGCAUAUAUAUAUAUAGGAAAAGGUGUGAUUUAGUUUGGGGAAAGUCACCAAGUUUUGUGGGGAAGAAGCGAGGGCGUUUCCCAAAGCAGGGGGCGUGUGAACACUUCUGUGCCCGAUUCAGGAGCCUCCCCCCUGCCCCAGGACAGACCCCCAAAGGCCCCUCCCCACGCCGGGUGGCCUCCAGUAGAGGGGCGGGGCAAGGGGAGAAGAGGGGAGGAAAGGGCUGGUGUCCAAAGAACGGUUGGAAUUUAUGGGAAAGUCCUGGGUCGGUUGAAAGUAGAAAACCCUCCUGGGAUGGGAAGGCCCCUCACCUGGGGGAGAAGGGACGGGCGUUAGGGAGUGACAACGGGGCCACCCAGGUGGACACCACCUCCCCACCCUAGUCCACCCGGCCAGGCUGGGAUCUAGGAACCCAAGGGCUCCCAUCGUUUCCAAAAGAACAGAUCCCACAAAGGCCAGAGUUCAGAGGCCAACAAACCCAGCUUUCAAAGAAGUCAAUGUCACCAUCGCAAAGCCCGUUUCCUCCUCCUCCUCUGGCAGCUGGGGACAGAUAUUUCUGUUUAUUUUCUGUCUCUCCUUCCCCACCCCCCGCCAUCUAAGGUCCAUGAAGAGGGUUUCUCCGCUGUCCCCCGGCCCCCGUUUCUGUUCAUUCACAGCUGCGUCCCCGAACACUGGGACAGUGCCUAGCACAUAAUAGAUGCUCAGUU